AUGUGGCUCACGGAGCGCUUCCGCCCCCUCCGCAACAAGAUGGCGCCCUCGCACCGAGACGCGCGACUCAUGGAGCGCCUCCGCCUCCUCCGCGUCAGGACGACGUCUUCGCUCCAAGAUGUGCAGUCCCACGGCGUAAUCCACCGCGCCGUGUGCCCGCGCACGAAGAAGGAAACUGCCAAGAGGUUCCCCGUCCGUAAGAAAAUGCUCCACCGCUCUCGGCACCGCCACGUCAGGAUCGCUUGCUGCGGCAGGGCCAUGCGCCACUUGCCGUGGCGGUGCAGGGACACCAAGAUCAAGCUCCGCCUCCAUGACUGGCCCCAGUGGCCACGGCAGGCUGUCGCGCCUUCACUCCUGAGCUGCGUAGCAUUGUCUGGCCAGGCAAGUUCAAACCGGAUCUGCCUCCUUGCUACGACGGCACCCCCGACGCUACGGAGUUCUUGCAGCUCUACGAGCUAA
rnacentral:rRNA from 1 species